CUAACUUGUUUAGCCUAGCCUUCCAACAACUCAAAUCUAUAGGGUCUGGGACAUGCUAUCCACUUGGAAAUUUUUAAAAUCUAAGGUAUUUGCGACAAUUAAUGUUUAGCAUUUUAAAAAAGACAUUAAAUCAUUUGAAGAUAAAGGACAGGAUCGCCAUAAGAUUCACUAAGCAAAUUUCAGUUACUAUAAUAACAACCUCCCUUCUAAAUUAUGUUUUUCUUCCAAUGUUUUGCUUAUACUUUCCAGAAAAGCGACUUUGG